rnacentral:rRNA from 1 species
GAGCGGAAAGGCCCUUCGGGGUACUCGAGCGGCGAACGGGUGAGUAGCACGUGAGUAACCUGUCCUUGGCUUUGGGAUAACCCUCGGAAACGGGGGCUAAUACCGGAUAGGACCUGGCCCUGCAUGGGGUUGGGUGGAAAGUUUUUUCGGCCAGGGGUGGGCUCGCGGCCUAUCAGCUUGUUGGUGGGGUGAUGGCCUACCAAGGCGACGACGGGUAGCCGGCCUGAGAGGGCGACCGGCCACACUGGGACUGGGACACGGCCCAGACUCCUACGGGAGGCAGCAGUGGGGAAUAUUGCACAAUGGGCGGAAGCCUGAUGCAGCGACGCCGCGUGAGGGAUGACGGCCUUCGGGUUGUAAACCUCUUUCAGCAGGGACGAAGCGCAAGUGACGGUACCUGCAGUAGAAGCGACGGCCAACUACGUGCCAGCAGCCGCGGUAAU